rnacentral:misc_RNA from 1 species
GAGUUCGCGGGAGAGUAAGUUAUUGCCAGGGUUUUUAUUUUAUACUUUAAACAUUGAUUUUAUUUUUUAUGUUUUUAGAUGUUCAUGUUUUUGAAUGUUUUAUUCAAAUAAUAUAAAAAAUAAAAUAUAUAUUGACAUGGAUUAAACAAAGAUAUAUAUUAUUCUAUGUUGUAUAAACAAAUUGGCAAAAUAGAGAUGGAAGAUAAAAAUAUGGUCAAAGUAAUAAGAGUCUAUGGUGAAUGCC